rnacentral:tRNA from 1 species
GGCUUUAUAGUCAAUAAUGAUAUUAGACUGCAAUUCUAAAGGAGUAAUUUUUUUUACUAAGGCUU